rnacentral:rRNA from 1 species
AGCAGCCGCGGUAAUUCCAGCUCCAAUAGCGUAUAUUAAAGUUGUUGCAGUUAAAAAGCUCGUAGUUGAAUUUCGGGGUUCUACCGUUGGUCGGGCAAUUGUCUGUACUGGCGUGUAGAAUUUCUACCUUCUGGGGAACCAUCAUGUUAUUAAUUUAGCGUGGUGGGAAACCAGGACCUUUACCUUGAAAAAUUAGAGUGUUCAAAGCAGGCUUACGUCUGAAUACAUUAGCAUGGAAUAAUAAAAUAGGACGGUGGUCCUGUUUUGUUGGUUUCUGAAUCACCGUAAUGAUUAAUAGGGAUAGUUGGGGGCAUUAGUAUUCAAUUGUCAGAGGUGAAAUUCUUGGAUUUAUUGAAGACUAACUUCUGCGAAAGCAUUUGCCAAGGAUGUUUUCAUUAAUCAAGAACGAAAGUUAGGGGAUCGAAGACGAUCAGAUACCGUCGUAGUCUU